rfam:Vulgatibacter incomptus strain DSM 27710, complete genome.
CGACGCCGCGAGGCGGAGCGAGAAGUCAGCAGAGGCCGUAGUAGCGCCUUCGCACAAGGCGUGAAGGGC